rfam:Sorghum bicolor cultivar BTx623 chromosome 4, whole genome shotgun sequence.
UGGAGCGAGCGAUAUUGGUGAGGUUCAAUCAGAUCAUCAGAUGAUGUAUUUUAAAUUUACAUGCAUGAAGGUGAAUCCCCAGGGACUGAUUGAGCCGCGCCAAUAUCACUUCCUUCCAC